rnacentral:rRNA from 1 species
GGGUGAGUAAUACAUCGGAACAUGUCCUGUAGUGGGGGAUAGCCCGGCGAAAGCCGGAUUAAUACCGCAUACGAUCUACGGAUGAAAGCGGGGGACCUUCGGGCCUCGCGCUAUAGGGUUGGCCGAUGGCUGAUUAGCUAGUUGGUGGGGUAAAGGCCUACCAAGGCGACGAUCAGUAGCUGGUCUGAGAGGACGACCAGCCACACUGGGACUGAGACACGGCCCAGACUCCUACGGGAGGCAGCAGUGGGGAAUUUUGGACAAUGGGCGAAAGCCUGAUCCAGCAAUGCCGCGUGUGUGAAGAAGGCCUUCGGGUUGUAAAGCACUUUUGUCCGGAAAGAAAUCCUUGGUCCUAAUAUGGCCGGGGGAUGACGGUACCGGAAGAAUAAGCACCGGCUAACUACGUGCCAGCAGCCGCGGUAAUACGUAGGGUGCAAGCGUUAAUCGGAAUUACUGGGCGUAAAGCGUGCGCAGGCGGUUUGCUAAGACCGAUGUGAAAUCCCCGGGCUCAACCUGGGAACUGCAUUGGUGACUGGCAGGCUAGAGUAUGGCAGAGGGGGGUAGAAUUCCACGUGUAGCAGUGAAAUGCGUAGAGAUGUGGAGGAAUACCGAUGGCGAA